CGAAGGUGCGCAGGUAGUAGGUGUUGGUGUGGGUAUCAUAAUAGUAGUGCUGGUGGUGCCCACUGCCGCCGCCGCCGCCGGAGUGCAGGCUGCUGCCCUCGCUCAGCACCGUGUCCCCGCCGUUCUGGAAGCUCACGUUGGGCCCGUCGACUCCGACCCCGGCAGCAUCUGACAGGCUGUCUUCAGCCGACGAGGAGGCAGCUGGGUCCACGAAGUUCACGCGGAAGCGGCCCUUGGCUUCCUCGCUGCCUUUAGCCGGCUCGCUCUCGCCGCUGGCUUCCCCGUCCGCGGGGGUCUGCUUGGCCCCCGCCCCAGCACCAGCCGCCGCCGCUGCCGCCGCCGCCGCCGCCGCCGCAGCAGCGGCCCGCCCGGCGUUCUCGGAAACCAGGUCCACCUGGAAACGGCUCUGGCUCGGGGUGGGCCCCAAGGGUCUGCCCAGCCCGUCCCCGGCCGCCGCGGGGCCCUCAUCGCGGACCCCGCCGCCGUCCCGGCUCGCGGGCGCAGCAUCCUCCGGCACCGAGGGCACAGCCGUGCCGGGCAGUUCCACCCUGGCUGCGGCCAGCGCAGCGGCUGACGGCGUCUCCCCGACCCCGGCCAGUCCCGGGGCGCCGGAGGAGGGCGCCGUGGGCCGCGGCUCCAUAGCUGCCCGACCCCCGGCGGAACUGCAGAGCCCGGCGGACGUCUCCGGCAGCACGCCCUCCACACCCCUGGCCGGCGGUGGCCACAGCCGCAAGACCAGGUGCAAGCGGUCUUCUCUGUCUUCUUUAUGGCCAGUAAAAUUCUCCAGAAGAGAUUUAUGGCAGCCUCACUCCCAGUAGUUUCUGCAUUUAGUGAGAUAAGCCACAGCAAUUGUCUGCUAUUUUAAAAGCACUGUGAUGCUUAAAUAUUCCAGCUGCUACAUCGGACAGGUGUCUGAUGAUCCUGAGAACAGUCAUCAAAAAGUAGAACUUGAGCCUGGAAUACAUUCUCUGGCAUAGCCAUAGUCAAUCACCAGUAUAAUUAAUGUAAAUGGACACUGGAUAGCUUUUUUGUGAAUUCUGAUGCAGCACAAAGAGACUUUAAUUGUUUCCAAAAAGAAAAUGUCUGAGAUUAAAAUCUAGAGUUUUAUGACUUAGAGGAAAUUUUAUAGCUUUACUCCAAAAAGGGUAAGGCACAAAAUAUUCUGUGCCAAAGGAUGCAUAUUUGGUAUUUUUCCUAUGAAUCCCUUAGUGUAAGUGGCAUGAUGAAAUUUUCUUGGUUUCAACACAGAUGAUGUGUUGAGGUAGUGUUGAGGCUGAGAGGUGGGUGGGAUGGGUCUUGGAGAAGGAAAAGAUUUGUUUUGCAAGGUUUGUGGAGAGCUGAUGCGGUAGUGAGGCUAAGACGAGGGGUAUUUACUUGCUACUUACAUUGAGUCCACUAACAUCUGCAGCACUUUGCUUGCAUUAUCCACGCAAUUAUCACGGGAAACCUAUAAAAUAAGUAUUCCUCUCCUCAUUUUACAAAUAGGGAAGCAGAUAAGAUUUAGAAAAUUUCCCAAACUCACACAAUUAUUAAAUGACAGAACUAGGACUCAAACCCAGGUUUUAUUAAUUUUAGAGACAUGUUUUUAACCACUUGGACACUGCCAACCAUGGAAUUGUUGGUAUGAAAAAAACGUACUCUUGAGUUAUAUUAUCCAUGGUCUUAAUAUCAGAGAAGUGCAGUUGAGUCGCUAUUAAAGAAUAUGGUAAAAUUAUAAAAUGGAUACUAUACAAAGGUAUAAAAAUAUUAUAAAUACUUAUGUUUGGGGUAAAAGGAUCAAAGUAGCCAUGCUCAGUGGAAGGGUAAGGAACUCUUAGCAGAGAUUGAUUAAUUGGGAGAUAAUUGAUUAAUUGGGAGUUGAUUGAUUAAUUGGGAUUUAUUAAUUUGGGAGUAGGUAGGAAGAUAGGAAGUUGUAUAAAAUAAGGGAGAGAUAACUUAGUACCUGGAAAAAAAGAAAUGGAAAUAGGUAGAAGCUAAGAGUUCAAUUAAAAAAAAGGAAUAAAAGAUAUUGGAAGGGAACGAUGAAUGUAGCAUGGAAGAUCCAAGAUGAUGGGAGUUCAGGGGCUAAUUACAGCUAUGGGGAAAAAGUAAUGUAUAAGCUGGAAGCCAGAGAUAAGAGCCAUGUAAAUGAAGAAGUUGGGCCCCAAUAGGAAAGAAUUAUAAGGACUAGAAGGAGCAGGAGCCAUGUGGAAAAAUAUCAUGUAGUACUUUUAAGCUUGAUCUGUCAUCUGUAGCAAAACCAGCAUGCUUGAGUACUGAAUUGACCUGACUGAACUAUGUUGAAAUGUACUGUGGUUUUAUAUCCAUAUGCACUUGGUCUGUGGAGUUGUGGGAAAAGCAUCAGUGAGUAGGAAGCCCAAGGAUUUGGGUCAAGUAUUAAAUAUGCUAUUUACUGUCUAGCUAUGUGACCUUAUAUAAGUCACUUGUGGUCUCUGAGCCUUCAUGUAUUCAUCCAUAAGAUGAGUUGUUGUUUAUAUUAAAUGGGAUGUGGUAUGUUAAAGAGCUGAAUGCAUAGUGAUACAGAAUUACUUUCUGUAAUACUAUUUUUUAAAUAUUUUAAAUGAAAAAUUAAUGAACUUAUAAAUUAAAAGAUUCAAAAGGGAUAAAAAGGUAUACAAUGAAAAGCAAUUCUCCUUCCCACCAGUAACUCUGUCCUACUCCUUAGGACAUUCACCAUAAACAGAUAUCCUGAAUUCUUCUAGAAAUAUUAUAUAUAAAAUCUUAUAUUUCUUAUGUUUCUUUUUUACUAUUUUAAAGGGGAUAAACUAAACUUUGCUUUUUUUCAUAUAAUAAUAUAUUCUGGAGAUCAUUUUCUAAAAGCACAUGUAAACAUACCUCAUUAUUAUAAAGGUUUGAAAAUAUCAAUUUAUUUGACCUGUCCCCUCUCGAUAGAUAAUUAGAUUGUAUCCAUCCCUUUGGUUAUUACCAACAGACACUAAUCACUUAUCAUGUACAUAUAGCCUGUUUUUUAGCAUUGUUAGACAAAGUAGGCAUAUUCCUUUCCAUCCAAGAACUCAUAACCUAGUAAUUGUAGUUGGCUGAUAGCUCAUUGCCCAUACACAAGGAUCUAACACAACCUCUUGAAUAAACAUCCCCCUUAUUCAGAAAUGCCUUUUCCUAUUUCCAUAUUGCAACUUUGCUUACAAAUUUCCAAUCUGUCUUUCUGUUUACAGAAGAUAUACAAAAUUCCUUUUGUAUGAUCUCUUUAUAUCUCUUGAUUUUCUUUUGUGUUUGCUACCAAAGGGCCUGCACAUAGUGAGAAGAUUGUGCAUGAUCUGUGAGCUCUACCACACCUGGAAUUAGGGAUCACCAAUAUGAGAAAAAAAAUUGGAGGUACAAAUAACAUUAUCAUAUGUAAUUGGCAUAUAAAUUACAGAUGUAUCUAUGACUAAAAACCCUGUGGAUAUAAACCAAAUGCAGAUAAAUAUAAUAAAAUAUAUAAAAAUAUAAUCAAAUAAUGAUAGUGCUAUUCAAAUACUUCAAAUUUGCACAGUGAUUUAUUUCUUAAAAUAUGUUAACACAUGUGAGCCAAUACACUGAGGUCACUGGAUAAAUAAACAGAUUCUUGCAAGUGCUUUGGAAAUGAAACUUUUUU
rnacentral:lncRNA from 1 species